AUUGAACGCUGGCGGCAUGCUUUACACAUGCAAGUCGGACGGCAGCACAGAGAAGCUUGCUUCUUGGGUGGCGAGUGGCGAACGGGUGAGUAAUAUAUCGGAACGUACCGAGUAAUGGGGGAUAACUAAUCGAAAGAUUAGCUAAUACCGCAUAUUCUCUGAGGAGGAAAGCAGGGGACCUUCGGGCCUUGCGUUAUUCGAGCGGCCGAUAUCUGAUUAGCUAGUUGGUGGGGUAAAGGCCUACCAAGGCGACGAUCAGUAGCGGGUCUGAAAGGAUGAUCAGCCACACUGGGACUGAGACACGGCCCAGACUCCUACGGGAGGCAGCAGUGGGGAAUUUUGGACAAUGGGCGCAAGCCUGAUCCAGCCAUGCCGCGUGUCUGAAGAAGGCCUUCGGGUUGUAAAGGACUUUUGUAAGGGAAGAAAAGGCUGUUGCUAAUACCGACAGCUGAUGACGGUACCUGAAGAAUAAGCACCGGCUAACUACGUG
rnacentral:rRNA from 1 species